rnacentral:rRNA from 1 species
AAUAGAUACCCUGGUAGUCCACGCCGUAAACGAUGAGUGCUAGGUGUUAGGGGGUUUCCGCCCCUUAGUGCUGCAGCUAACGCAUUAAGCACUCCGCCUGGGGAGUACGGUCGCAAGACUGAAACUCAAAGGAAUUGACGGGGGCCCGCACAAGCGGUGGAGCAUGUGGUUUAAUUCGAAGCAACGCGAAGAACCUUACCAGGUCUUGACAUCCCGCUGACCGCCAUGGAGACAUGGCCUUCCCUUCGGGGACAGCGGUGACAGGUGGUGCAUGGUUGUCGUCAGCUCGUGUCGUGAGAUGUUGGGUUAAGUCCCGCAACGAGCGCAACCCUUGUCCUUAGUUGCCAUCAUUCAGUUGGGCACUCUAAGGAGACUGCCGUACAAAUACGGAGGAAGGUGGGGAUGACGUCAAAUCAUCAUGCCCCCUAUGACCUGGGCUACACACGUGCUACAAUGGGUGGUACAAAGGGCAGCGAACCCGCGAGGGGGAGCGAAUCCCAAAAAGCCACUCUCAGUUCGGAUUGCAGGCUGCAACG